GACGUAGGGGGCGAGCGUUGUCCGGAUUUAUUGGGCGUAAAGCGCGCGUAGGCGGUCCGUUAAGUCGGGUGUGAAAACCCGGGGCUCAACCCCGGGCCUGCAUUCGAUACUGACGGGCUAGAGGCAGGUAGGGGGAAGUGGAAUUCCUGGUGUAGCGGUGAAAUGCGCAGGAUAUCAGGAGGAACACCGGUGGCGAAGGCGGCUUCCUGGACCUGUCCUGACGCUCAGGCGCGAAAGCUAGGGGAGCAAACAGG
rnacentral:rRNA from 1 species